ACCUAGUGCACUGUACCAUAAUUUGGUGUGUAAAGGAGUCGUAAUCUAUGCUAAGAGUGUAUCUUUGGAACUGAAUCUCAGCCAAUCACAGCAAUUGGGCAUCAGCAAAUCACUGGCCACCAACUGAUCAGACCACAUCUAUAUAAGGGACGGAGCCCAUCAAGAGGUCCUUAGAUGGUUGGAGACAUGCCUCGAAGAAUAUAGUGCAAUCUCCGCCCCUUGCUCUUUUGCUUUUCAUUCUCAGCUAUGAGCCGCUUUGACAACCCUCCUUCGUUCACCCCUUCAGAAUAAUUUAUCAGCUGCAAUCCGGAUGCCCACUUCCACAGCAAGCUUUAGAUAUUUCUCAAGACCAUAGUUCCUGAGACACGAGAAGAAAUAAUAAUGAAGACCUAGAGGAGUUGCGGACAAAAAUGUAAGGACAGGAGCAAAAAGCAGAGGGAAGAGAAGACGCCACUCUUCUUGCUUUAAAGAUGGAAGUAGAGAUCGCAAGCAAAAGAAUGCAAGUGGGACUAGAAAA